GCGGAACAGGGUGGGCUUACGCACGGUCUGCCAACACAAGCGAAAACCCGGAAUGCAACCCCCAUGCAAACGGGCAGUUGCCUGUAAUCGACACGGUCUAGACUGUAGAGCUAUUGCACAUCUUUUGUGUGAAAAGUGUUUCUUGAGAUUGUGUACACCCUAUGGGAGCAAUUCACUGUUGUGUUAUUAUUGAAUGUUCUGUCAGCGCAAGUGGUUCAACUUGCCAGAUGGAACAGUCCCUCCUCUCUGAGACUCCAUCCCAGCAUGCUUUUCCGGGGGUUCUCCUGAUCCUCCCAGAGCCAUUUUGGGGGAACACGCAGGCAGGGGGCAGGGAGGAAGAAAAUCACAAGCAAAUCUCUAUAUGAAGGGUUUUUGCUGAAAGGACUCAUGAGGUGACUCCCACCCUAUACCCUUACAGGACAUUCAAAACACAUUAUUUCCCUCAAUUGAUUCUGGACACUGCAGUUUGUAAAGGGUUUCUGGGGUCAGUUUCAGGGUCUAUUUCAUAACCUACAAGCUAUGUAGCCUUUUGUCCUCAGGUAGGGAAAUCAAAGCAUCAACUGAUGCAUGAAUGAGCACAUGAUUUCCUUCUUUGUACAGGUGCCCAUUCAUCCCCACUGCCCAGCAGGAGCAAAUUUCCCUUUGCAAUGGUGUGUUGAUGGUGGUUGGAGCAUGCUGGGCUUGGAAGGGGGAGGGUGGAAAAGAUGUCCUUCCUGGGAGGCAUCUGUGCUCUGGCCACCAAAAGGUCAUCUCAGGGGAGGGAAGGAAGCCCACCAGCACCUGAUUCUUAGCGGCUUGUUCAUGGCGUUCCUUUAUUGCUCCCAUUUCCUUGAGGUGUAUUGAAAGCUACAGAACACCAAAGGCCAAGGAAAUGAACGACUUGGAAUACGGAGGCAAGUGUUCAUCCCCAACCAAGCCUCAACAGUGAGAUGGAGUUCGUCUUUGAGGCAACAAAGCUUGAGCUACCUUCAGCAUCUUUUCAACCAUAAAAUAAAAACCAUUGCAAUGGGGAUGUUGUGGUGUCAUGCAAGUGAAUUUAUGGUACCAUCUUUUGUAUGACUAGAUUGCUGGUUAAGUGUUGGCUGCUUGUUUUUCGAUCUGGUUCUAGAAUUAGACCUGGUUCUAGAAUGGGUGGCUGCUAGCUCUGGAAUCUGUGACUCAGCUGGUAUGGUCCUGUUCAUAUUCUUGACCAUUGGGCCUCUCUAAAAGUAAAUCCCAUUGGUGAAGUGUGCCUCUAAUUUUAAUUCAGAAAACGUUGGAUGCCUCAGAUGUCAAUACCCUGCAAAUCAAGAGAAAACGAAAGCAUUUUUUG